rnacentral:lncRNA from 1 species
GUUUUGUCUGGGGCUCGUCCUGCUACAUUUCUUGGUUCCCUGAACAGGAAGCGAGGUAACUGACGGACGGCCAAGGCAGCCCCUUGGGUGGCUUAGGCCUGCCCUGUGGAGCAUCCCUGCGGUGGACUCUGGCCAGCCUGAGUGACGCGAUCCAAAGAGCGCUCCCGGGUAGGAAAUUCCCCGGGUGGAACGCCUCGCCAGAGCAGCACGUAGCAGGCCCCCGAGGAGGAUUAACACACUGGCUGAACACUGGGAAGGAACUGGCACUUGGAGUCCGGACAUCUGAAACUUGCAACCCACUCUCUGUGCUAUGACUUCAUUACUCUUUCCCAGCCCAGCCCUGGGCAAGCCCCUUACGAAGUCUCAGGCUACCUGGAUGACCACCCUUUCUUAUGAUGCUGCAAGGAGGGCAGGUGGGCAGAGCCCCGUGCAUCCUGGGCUCAGGCCAGGGACCCAAGAGCUUGGGAGAAGCUGGUUCUCAGACUGAAGGCCAGAGCCCAGCACCUUGUCACCAUCCCGGGGAGCAUCAUGGCACACAACAACCAGAGCCAAGAGUCACACACCCUCCAGACCACGGUUGUCUGUGAGUUGCUGGGGAACCGGAGCAGCUGGGGACACUGGCACUACAACUGUGAUGGCCAGGACUCCCUUCUUAGCACACUUGAGUCUUUCAACUCCAGCAAAAGCCAGCCAGAACCAAGCAUAGCUGCAGAAGGAGAGAAGGGAAGGAAACAAUCCUUCCUGACCUAGAGCUGCGUCUACCCUCUCCGGAAACACCUGAAAGCUGGGGUGGGACCACGGCCCACCGUAGGUGUGAUAGGUGUGCAGAGAAGUCUACAUUCCCAUGUCAAAUUGACAGGCCUCGGAAGUCAAAAUAAGUGGUUUCCUAGACCGGGUCGAGAGCAAGUCUCUAUUGGUCCCAACUGAGUUUUUUCAGCUGGUUUUUCAACCAAACAGCACCUCAUCUCCCAGUGAGGGGAAGGGAAGGCUGGGCUGAGAGCAGCAAGGCUGCUCAUCUCACCUCUCCCCACCCAGCCAUGCCAGCCGCCUCACCUGGUGGGGAGAGGUGGGCCUCACCUGGGUCCCCUGGCAGUGCUCUGUGAAGGGUCUUGACAUUGCACUGUAAUAAUAAAGGUGUGUGUGAAGUAUC